CUUCCCCUUCAUCAAUCGUAAUUGCUCCUCACCAAAACCUCUCUUCUUCUGAUCUGCUACUGAAAUUAUAUCUUGUCUAUUUCUUUUUUGAGUUUUGUAAAUUGAAUUCCUCUUUUAAUCGAUUGUGUUUUUUCAAACGAAUUUUAGAGAAAGCUACAUGUACUCCAAGUAAGGGUGAAACAAUAUCCUUAAACCUUGAUUUGCCGGAAUCCGGCUGUAGCUAUAUUAAUCGGAGAAGUUAUCUGGCCGGUUGUUGUUCUUUGUCGACAUAUCUGCUUACCGAAUUUCUCACAUUUUCUAUCUAAUGUCUCUAAUUUUUUAAAUUAAUUUCUAACGUUUUUUUAACAAUUCGCUCUUUUUGUAUGGUAAUGGCAACAUCCUCUUUUAUCUUAGGAUAUGAUUUGGACCAUUUUUUUCAUUUAUUAACUACUUUUUAUUAAAAAUGAUUAGCUUGGCGCGUUUGGUGUUGUGGUAAAUGUAUAACUUACAUUUACGAGUCACGGAAAUCAUUUGUGUAAAUGCACAUAUAGCAGUUAUUAUUCACAAAAAUGAGUUGAAAAAUCUGACCUUAAGUGCUCGAUAUACAUUUGCUUGAUGCUUCUCUUUGUACGGACUAUGGAUUCUACCAAAGACAGUUCUAUAUCAUGUAUCCUAAUGUUGGGCCACAUAUUUGUAAAUCAAUUGACGUGUUCAAGGAGGCAGAAAUCAACUCAAAUUUGCAUUCAAGAUUUCAUAUAACAGCUUCACAAAGAGAAUCGAAUUUUGUUAAAUCAAAGAGGAACAGUUUGGGCUUUGGCAAUAUAUUCGGGCCGAGCAAAUUUAGUUCCGUGAAGAUGAACGGCUGAAUUCUCCUCAAAAUAGCACCAAAUCUGGCUAUAUUUUAAAAACUGUACCCGCCCUUUUAGAAUACAUUAUUAAUUAUAUAAAUUUAAGUACUAACUUUGAUUAUUACUUAAAAAAGAAUAAAAUAAAAUGUUGUGAGAAGCAAGAGAGGAGAGAGUAUCGAUUAACAUGACUAUUAAGCACUACA